AAUUCAAACAACAUUACUAAUCAGAAGACGGGUGCCGGAAUCAUCCGUAAGAUACCGGGUUGGAUACGAAAAGGUGCAAAACCAGGAGGCAAAGUCGCCGGCAAAGCUUGUAAAAUUUGCUCAUGUAAAUACCAGAUUUGCAGCAAAUGUCCUAAAUGUCAUGACUAAAGUUAGGCCUUGAGACUAUGUACUUGUGCUGGUGUGAGUUUAAUUUUGAGAGUAAAGGGAAAGUUAUGAAUAGCCUAAUAUAAUUCUAUUACUAUGUUUUCUUAGUAAUUCUUAUUGUUGAAACUUGGAACAGGUCUUUGGGUCAAAAUGUACCUCUUGUCUUGUAGUCUUUCAACUGUAUAGUAUUGUACUGUAUUUUUCUUUAGCCACUUGAUAUCAAAUCCGAUUAAAUGUAAUUUGCGUUGCAUAUGUUUUACCACAGUCAGACCUUUCUAUAACAACAUUCGUAUAUAACAGCCUUUCAUUAUAAAAAUC
rnacentral:lncRNA from 1 species